rnacentral:piRNA from 1 species
UGGAAAAACUUGGAGACGCUGUCCUUCA